CUAUAUGUAUAUGUAUAUGUACAUGUACAUGUACGUGUAUGUGUAUGGUUUAUGCCCAUUUUGAUGCAGACAUCUCCCUACAAAAAGCAACAAAA
rnacentral:miRNA from 12 species